rnacentral:lncRNA from 1 species
UCUGCACAUAACUGGGGGUGCUCUUUUCGAUGUGUCUAUGUAAUAGGCUGUCCAUUUCAGCCGCCGCUGAUUGGCCGGAGCGCGGCGAGCAGCGCGCCCUCUGUUUCAGGUUUUCUUCUGCAACGUCAUUUUGGCGUCACGAGGCUUUCA